AGUGAACGCUGGCGGUAGGCCUAACACAUGCAAGUCGAACGGCAGCACAGUAAGAGCUUGCUCUUACGGGUGGCGAGUGGCGGACGGGUGAGGAAUACAUCGGAAUCUACUUUUUCGUGGGGGAUAACGUAGGGAAACUUACGCUAAUACCGCAUACGACCUGCGGGUGAAAGCAGGGGAUCUUCGGACCUUGCGCGAUUGAAUGAGCCGAUGUCGGAUUAGCUAGUUGGCGGGGUAAAGGCCCACCAAGGCGCCGAUCCGUAGCUGGUCUGAGAGGAUGAUCAGCCACACGGGAGCUGAGACACGGUCCAGACUCCUACGGGAGGGAGCAGUGGGGAAUAUUGGGCAAUGGGCGCAAGCCUGAUCCAGCCAUAGCGCGUGGGUGGAGAAAGCCUUCGGGUUGUAAAGCCGGUUUGUUGGGAAAGAAAAGCAGCAGGUUAAUACCCCGCUGUUCUGACGGUACCCAAUGAAUAAGCACCGGCUAACUUCGUG
rnacentral:rRNA from 1 species